rnacentral:snoRNA from 1 species
GGGCAGGAUGUAACUGCAGUCUAGCUGUUCAGGAUUGUGUAAGCUCCUGCUCAGAACAAUGCUGUUUUUUCUAGCUCUAUAUGUCUACCCCUGUGUAGAGCCAGCGACACUUGGUCUCAUACAU